rnacentral:rRNA from 1 species
UACGUAGGGGGCAAGCGUUGUCCGGAUUUAUUGGGCGUAAAGAGCGUGUAGGCGGCCAGAUAGGUCCGUUGUGAAAACUCGAGGCUCAACCUCGAGACGCCGAUGGAAACCAUCUGGCUAGAGUCCGGAAGAGGAGAGUGGAAUUCCCGGUGUAGCGGUGAAAUGCGCAGAUAUCAGGAAGAACACCCGUGGCUAAGGCGGCUCUCUAGUACGGUACUGACGCUGAGACGCGAAAGCGUGGGGAGCGAACAGG